CAUCACAUCAACAACAACAUCAUCUUGCCGCCAGGCCUAUUAAAUAAUGCGCAUGCGUGCAACAAUUUGAAUUUAAUAAAAACGUCCAUUGUGCUUCGUCGCGGGAUAAAAUGAACAUUUUAAAUCCCAAAUUAUCUCCUUUUAACCGAUGCAUCCUGUCUUAGGGACGAAUUCACAAUAUUUGUCAACACUCCUAGAGGCAUAUUAGCUAAUUAUUUAUUUGCCAAUGAAAUUGGAAAAUGUUUUGGACUGACUUUAAGAAAUCAUCUGGAAUGGCACUCGUUCAACCACAUACGUAUGUAUACAUGUACAUGGAUAUGACGGAAAUAAUUCUCAGCUAAACGUACAUAGCACGAGUAUGUACGUGCCGGUGGCGCUUCGGGGAAGAAUGUUGGCGCGAAUAAUUGUUACAGCCUCGAUCUGGGCAUGGGGCCGGCUGCUGGGGAGGGGAUCACUGAUUGAUGAAAAGCUGUGAGAAUUAAUUUCUGUUGAGUUUUCACAUUUGAAAAUCUACCUGUCCAUUUAUUUUAGCUCUGAAAUAUUAAACGCGUGACAGGUUUUGUUUAAUGGUUGCUGAUAUUGACAAUGAUUGAUUUAAUUGUUUGUUCAUUUUUCCCCAAGUGUAAAUUGUGUUCAGGUCUUGGGGACCAUUUGUCCUGUUUUAAUUGUUAACAUCGCCCUCUAUUGACCAUUUUUUAGAGCCUGUUCUGAUCUUUCCUCACAUGGCUUGAUGUAAUUUGUAUGUUGACAAGUCUUACCCAAGUUGUUUCCAGAAAUUUGUGACUCAUUUAUCAUCGGAUCAACUGCCAGUGCCACUCCUGUUUCGCCUGUGAAAGCAUUGUCUGUUUUCACCAGUUAGACUGAUGCUGCUUUUGAUGCUGAAACAGCUCCACUUUGUGACAAUAUCAAACAUCAGGACCUGUCAUCAGAACCCCAAGAAGAGGUACACCUGCGUUUCAGGU